GAUGAACGCUAGCUACAGGCUUAACACACGCAAGUCGAGGGGCAUCAGUCUGGUUUGCUUGCAAACCAAAGCUGGCGACCGGCGCACGGGUGAGUAACACGUAUCCAACCUGCCUCAUACUCGGGGAUAGCCUUUCGAGAGAAAGAUUAAUAUCCGAUAGCAUAUAUUUCCCGCAUUGGUUUUAUAUUAAAGAAAUUCGGUAUGAGAUGGGGAUGCGUUCCAUUAGUUUGUUGGCGGGGUAACGGCCCACCAAGACUACGAUGGAUAGGGGUUCUGAGAGGAAGGUCCCCCACAUUGGAACUGAGACACGGUCCAAACUCCUACGGGAGGCAGCAGUGAGGAAUAUUGGUCAAUGGACGCGAGUCUGAACCAGCCAAAUAGCGUGAAGGAUGACUGCCCUAUGGGUUGUAAACUUCUUUUAUAUGGGAAUAAAGUGGUCCACGUGUGGAUUUUUGUAUGUACCAUAUGAAUAAGGAUCGGCUAACUCCGUGCCAGCCGCCGCAGUAA
rnacentral:rRNA from 1 species